rnacentral:lncRNA from 1 species
CGAGUAUUUUAUGUAGUUGGCAGCCCGCAAUUACAUAUGUUCUUGGUUACAUUACUUUUUUUUUCUGUGUACCGAUCUUGUUUCGACUGACGAUCUCGUUUGUCGUCGCGAGAUAAUCCAGGAGAGAAUGUUAAUUGUGCACCUCGAAUAUAAAAUAAAGUAGUGCAUUCGAACGCGAUAAAAUUUAUCCCGAUGACAAAUUUGUCAACCGUGAGAAAUAACAGAGAAAGAGAGAGCCGAGAUAGCGCGGCGGGGAUCGUACUGGUUUGGCGAGGCGUCCUUGAUUCUUUUUUUUCCCUCCCCUCGGCGAGAGUAAAACGGAAUGUUUCGUGAUAUACGAACCGAUUGAACGCGCGUGCGCAAGCACAAUAAUUAACAUCUUGUGUGAACGUCUUUCAUAAUUCCGCCGAUUAUAUCUAACGUAUCGCGCGCGCCUCUCUCUCUCUCUCUCUCUCUCUCUCUCCGACGUGUCCGCAUUUUUCGCCAAUAAAAUCUCGCGCAAUGAUUCGCGCAUUAUGGAAAACAAGCCGAUGCCGAUAACUCAACAACACACGCUCGUGCGGCCGUCUCGUUUCGCCAGGCGCUCACGGCUACUUAACACUCCAUUGCCGCAAUAGACGACUCCGCUGCACGUGGCGGCGUGUGUUGUUAAGUUAUCGAUAAAGUUUUACGCCGCGAGACUCUCCUGCGGAUAGAAACGCUCCGAGACGGGAUUCUGUAAGAUUCUGUUGCGUUAACCACGGGAGGAGAGGAGAGAACGAGCGAACGUUAUGCGUGGAAAACGAGCGGUGGCCACGAUAAGAAAUUUCCGCAACGACGCACUCCUCCGAAUCGCAUUUCGCGCGAUCGGAUACAGUAUGUGGACUCGCAUAACGGUAUUAUUGAGACUAUAGGGUUACCGUACUCGACGGGAAAAAAAAGAAACGGAGCACGCUCCCCAGAGAGCUAUUGUGCCGCGAUCAACAAACUCCUUUAUUUUUUUUUUAAUUGCUUGUGAUCAGAUAUUAUCGUUUGCGAAAUAUCGAAUUGUUUAAUAUUCUAAUUGGGAUUUUAUUUGUGUCAUUGUGUAAGUUUUAAAUUUUUACAAAAUUCUUUGUUAGUUAGUCUUAUUUAUUUGUCUUGUAAAUUUUGUAUAACCAUACAUACAAAUAUGUGUAAAAUAAAAGGGAAAGUAUUAUCAAGUCCUAUCAAAUAUUAAUUUUCUAAUGAUAGCACAUUAACGGUUAUUAUAAAAUUAUAAAUGUCAGAAAGAGAAAGAGAAAAGAGAGAAAGAUGAGUAUAUAAAUAAAAUAACGUAUUACAUAAACAGUGAACACAUACGACUACAAUUAAUAUAUGAUUCUAAUUAAUUUUAUUAAAAUUAUGUAUUACUCUAAAAAAUCUUUAUUGUCGUAGUUUUUCAUUAUUGAUUAAUUUGCGAUUUACAAGUAGGUUAACGCUUGAAAAAAGAACGUCUUUGAUAAUUUUAAAGACUCUAGUUCGAUGAUAUGACAUUCUAAUAAUUUGUCGCAACGUUACAGUAAGGUUUCGGAUAUCUGCGACUGCGUAAGACAAAGAUCGAUGCCGGGCGUUUCGAAGGAAUUAUGUGAUGAGUAGACCGUACGUUUCGGUUAUCAAAUACCGUGCCUGAGUACAAAAUCAUAGAGAAAUGCGUUUAAAAGUAUUGCAUUACAAAAUAUUUUGUAUAACUAGCAAUUAAAUUUUGCAAUUAGCUUUAGAUAUUUUGUAAGAUAGAAUGCUUGAAACUUCAAUCGAAUUUUUUUGAAAAUAAUAUUUUUAUUAUACUUGUGUUUUUUCCACGUAUUGAUUUCUAUUUUAGUUCAUAUUUAGGUUCAUAUUUUGUAGUCGCAUUUCUGUUGAAGACUUUGAAAUCAAUUUUGAGAUACGAUAUAAUUUAAUAAACGGACCUUGACGAUUAAUUUUAUAUUUGUAACAUAUUUGCAAUCACGAUUCAACUAAGAAACAUUCAAAUAAAGUUUGUCUCAAGAUUCAACCUCCGUUUAUUGCGGUUCAAUAAUCGAUUCUUGUGAAAGAAUGUAUUAAUAGUUGUUCCUGAAUCUCGUCUCAGUUGAGUCGAGGAAAAAGUGUCACAUCACUCAAGUGUACUUCGGAGGUGACUUGAGAAAAGAUCAAGUGUUUAAAUAAUUCCAAUAGCUUUAAUAUUUAAUUGAGAAGUGGAACAAAAUUACUCGUGUAAAAAACCUGAUUUAGUAUUCGAGAUACAUUUUGAAAACACAUUUUUAAUCUUGUAACCAGAAUCUAUAGAACACUCUUCCAUUAUGCUCCUAUCAAACAAUGCUGUACAAUAAUUCUUUUUUAUUACUGAUUAAGAAAAUAGCGAAACACGUUAUCUUUUCUUUUUUAUUAUUAAAAGUUAUUUGAGUCAUUAAACUUGUGCGAUUUUAUUUCUGUUGGAUAAAAAAUAUGGAAAAAAAUCAGUAAUGAGGAAAACGACGUAAAUAUAUCUUUGAUUAAAAGAUUGAAGACAAAUUUUAUCUUUCAAAUAAAUAUUAUAUUCUAAUCGCGAAUAAAUAUCACGUUUUAAUUGUAAAGAAAAUGCUUAAAAUUAACGAUACUCAUUUCCAGUAUUAUGCAUGUGUUAAUCAAGUCGCAAAAUACCUAUCGAACUCGAGUAUCAAAUAAAGCUUUUCAAAUCUCUCUCAAUCAAAGAGAGCUAUUCAUUAACUUGCACGAUGUUGAGUUCACAAAACGGAGCUUCAGACGUAUGACGAUAAUCCAUUCAGUUCGGAAUGCGCCUACGAAUGCUCGGUAAAUACGUUAGUUUAGUUCGCAAAACGUUCAGUGUUCCAUCCAGCAACAGCUUUUGUUCGUUGCUGGCAACUUUAAUCGUAUUAACUCAUCUUUUCUUGUAACGAUUAAAAAAAAAAAAGAUGAGUAAGUUAUUUAUUUUUUCUAGUUUUAAGAAUCGCGAAAGGGAUAAGACAAAUCGAGAUCAAAGUUACACCUAAAAAAAACCAUAAUUUUGGUAUAUAUGGAAUUCUCUAAAACUUAGAGGAUUUUACUCUUUGAGCCUCAAAAAGAUUCCCCUCCAAAAUCAAGAGGAAAAUAGUAUAAACACGAUAUUCUUACGAAAAAUCGUUACUUCUUUUGUGCUGCACAUAAGAGGCAGCUCUGCUUCAAAUUAACAUAUUAUUUUUUAUAUAAAACAUAUUCCUCUUAAUAUAAGAGGGAAAUAGUUAGAAUAAUAUAUCUUAAGUUUGCGAAUAAAUGUUUUACUUUAUUAAAAAGGAAACUUGUUGUAAAACAUUAAGCUUAGAAUACGAGAUUAUGAGAAGAAUUACUUUGAAUGCAAAAUACUUUUUUUCUUGGUGUAAUGUGCAUUGAUAGAUGUUUAUGUGUGGAACAGCUCCUGCCGAGCGUUAGAUUGUUUUUUUGUGCGCGCUGCGCAGCGCCGUCUUGUUGUUUACGCUCCUCGGUCCACCAUUCGUAUGACGUGACUCGCUCCGGUGCGUUGUCCGUUCGUGAUGCUGUCCCUCGAAACGCGAUCGUUACGUUAUUAGCGCGUGCGAUCAACUUUCGCGGAUUAUUUUUCACGCGCGCGUGUUCCAGCGACGCUUCCACGAAGCUCCUUUCCCGUUUUUCAAAACGGCGAAUCUUGCCUUGCGCUGCUUAUUAUCUUUCUCGAGCGAUUAUAAGUCUAUUCUUCGUAGCUAAUCUGAUGUAUAGUCGUUGUACUUAAAAUGAAUAUAUAUAUUUAUAUCUGUGGUGAAAGCGGGGAGGGAAAUUUUUAGUGCCAAGUCCAACGUGCGACAAUGAAAAACAAGGCUUGUUGACUCGCUUGCGUGGCGUCGCACUUGACGUCGCGUCGAAGUGAAGUUGGAUCCGGUGGUUCCCUCCGGAUCCUUCAGCCAUUGCCAAAAUGUCCCGCACGAGGCGUUUGAUUAGCGAGUCUCCGACGCGCAAGUGUAAACCGGAAUUUGAAUAUUUGUCGACCGUGUAGCGGGAAUCCGGUGUUCGUCGGGCGUGCAUGACGUAGAUAAGACGCGUGCCCAAUUAUCUCUCGUCCGAAAGAGUCAAUCGCGGUCGGCGAUCGUUUCCGAGGGCGUGCUGCCGGACGAGAUUGCUCUUUAGAAAAAGUGAUCGCUCUCGUAUUAAAGAAAAAAAUCCACGCUCGUACUAAAAUAAUUUAUAUCCGUGAACGCACGGACUUAAAUUGUAGGAUACUAAUAUCACGGCUCUGCGCGGAUCGUCGUUAGCGACGACGACGACGACGACGACGGGAGGAGAGGAGAUGGGAGGGGAUGGCGCGUGAAGUUGCCCGCGGUUGUCUUCGCUCCGCCAUUUUCGGUUUCGGCCGUUGCGUUAAUUUGCGAGACGUCACACGGCCGUCGAGCGGGAUCGCGGCGUCGCGAACGCGCGAUUCUCUUCUGCUUUCCUCGCGCUUUAUUCCGUCGCGAUGGCAAUAAAGCGCGCGUCGCGGCGCGAUUAACGUCGAGAGCGUAUACCGUACGGGAGUGUCGCGCGGAUUGUACUUAACCUUGUUCCCGCGAGUGAGUGUUGUGCGAGUGUUACUGCCACGAUGGUGGAGCCGACCAUGGAGAAACGAGUAAGGGCAGGAGAAGAGGAGCAGCAGGCCCGUGGAGGCAUCGGGCAACGGCAAAGCAGGAUUAACGUAGCUGCGUUAUACAACUUCGUUGUUGCGCGUCGCAUCAGUAAGUGUGAAAUUAUCUUUUAAUGUGAGAUAAUGGAUUUGUAAAAUUCUGAUAAUGUAUACGCAUCUACACAUGCACAUGUCCAUACGUUUAAUUAAAAAGAAUUGGAUAUUUAAUAAUUGAUUGAGAAAAUUGAUAUCAUUAGAUUCUUAUAAAUAAGUCACUUAGAUUUGUUAAAACGGAAAGGCUCUAAGACAGAUUAGUGCUAAUAUUUAAUCACAGUCAUCCAUUGAUUUAUUAUGCAUACGAGAAUGCAUACAAACACUCAUGCAUACGUUGAGCUCAUAAAACAGCUCAUUAUCGGUAUAUUAUUAUACGAGUUGAAAUUUAUAGUACAAACUCGGAAAUAUACAUGUCAAUAGAACUGAUAGGAAAUAUUAAAUUUUACAAAGUAAGCUCGAUAAAAAGUGAUUUCAAUGAAAGAAAAAAAUUUAUCUGUUUCUGUAUCCGUAAAGAUAUCGUAUCUCGUACAUAUUUUACCAGAUAUUUUUUAAGGAAAAGUUUUUCAGUAAACAUUGAAAACACCAUGAAGACAUGGUAAUAUUUAUUUAGGAACUUGUGUAGUAUUAAGUACAUCACAUCGUAUAAUAGAUUAAAUUAUUAGAUUAUUGCUUAAAGAGAGAGAGAGAGAGAAAGAGAGAGAGAGAGAGAGAGAGAGAGAGAGAGAGAAAUGAAAAGAAAAAAGUAAAAUAAAACAUAAGCUGGAACAUAAAAUAAUUAUUUGAAUUUCUUCAUAAUGUUCACGUUGGAUAAACGAAGAUGAAAACUAAAGGAAGACAUUUAUGUAUAUAUUUGUAUGUGAAAUAAGAAGAAAUUUAUUGUAUAUAUCUAAUCUUAAUUUAAUAUAUACUUAAAUAAUAUAAAGAGAUAAAAAAUAUUAGCGUAUCUUUUCUAAGUAACCAAUAAAAGAUAGUAAUAAAAAAUUGUUCUAAUAAUUUUGAAUUUUUAAUAAUAUUUAUUAUCAUAAAGACUAUUGAUUUCAUUUCACUGCACUAAUCUUUCUUGUAGUCCUUCUGCCUAUAUUUAUUGAUAGUUUAUUUUAAUUGAAAAUAUAUAUAAUCGAUAGACGUAAUUACUAAGUAAGUAACUGUAAGUACUAGCAUUUAUGUUAAAUUUAUUUUAAAUAAUAUAAAUUAAAAAAGAAGAAAAAACAUUUUUGCGUGCAAAUUAUAUAUAUUUUUAAAAUAUAUAUGCAUUGCUAUAUAUUUCAUAACAAUUUAAUUCAUUAUAUAUAUCACUUAAAAAAGGUCAGAUUUUUAACUCGAAUGACCAUAAUCACUUUUCAAUUAAAUAAAUCUCAGUUUAAGCUCUAAUUAAAAUGCGACUAUUGGAUAAUUCCAGUAGCUUUUGAAGAUAAAAAUCUCAUUAUGAAUAUCUCACUAGAUCCGAGCAAAGGCUAUAAUUACGGGCUUAACACUUGUCAAACCCAUCAAACGUUUAUCAUUCCGAAUGAGAUAGCGGAAAUUGUAGGUCGGUCUCUCUUUCUCUCUCUCUUUUUCUAUGGUGUUUACCCGCUCAUUAGUCGAAUAUUUGUAACAUUUCUUUAUAACUGGAGCGCACGCUCGCGCGUUUUUGCAUUCGGUCGCGCGUGAAACAAGUCGCGUCGCGUCGCCGUGUCGGUCGGUCGGUCUGUCGGUCGGUCGGUCAAAGACGCGAAUGUAUGGGUGCUGGGUUCGGGCAGCAGAAUGCGCACACGGCAGAAGUUUGAAUUCAACGAUACUGAGUCACCGGUGCGGCGGAUAGGCGCGAGAAAGAGAAAGAGAGUGGCGCACACGAGGACGAGGACGUGUGCGUUGCAAAUGAAUGCAACGGCAGCAGCAGCAGCAGCAACAGCAGUGCGGCAGCUCGCGCGGGAGCUGCAUUUUUGCGUCAGCGCACGUGUUUGUGAGUGAGACCGCCUUUUGCACGCCAACCAACGAUCUCCACCACCGGUUUCGUUACCGGACGUUCUCGCUGUACGACGGCGGUUCAAUUCACUUUAGAGUCAAAAGGGGGGAAAAAAAAGAAAAGAGCAACUGCAAUCGAGCGAGACUUCCCGAUAUCGCGAGCAACCUCGCUGCGCGAGAUCGCGCGGGUUUUUUUCGCCUCCCGGUACGGCGACUGAGUGGGUGAAUUAUUACACACGCUCCUCCGCUUCUAUACACAUUGCCUUUUAUGAAUUAGACCCAACUGAAUAAAUAGUACUUGCCGGUGAUUAAGUAUAAUUAAUUAAAUAACAUUAAGUAGCGUUAAUUAAAGAACGUGCCGCGCUGCAAUAUCUAAUACAGUUGGCGCGGCAAACUUGCGAUAGUACCGGUAUCUCGAUAGCGGGUGUCGCGUUAUCGUUCGCUAUCCCUGGCUGCAAGUAGCACAUCGCGUAUACGCAAUGCGUCACUGUCGACGCAUGCUGCACACGCGGCGUGCGAGCCACAUGUAGCAAAAUAGAAACUUGGCUAGCCGGCGGUAGGCGCCGUAUAACUGAUUCCAACGUCAGCAGCAAUGUUAAGUAUCGCGACUACUAAAUAGCUCAUCGCGCAUCGAAAGCAGAGAGCUACACGUAGCGUACCGAGAGGUGCAAUUGUUGCGUCGAUAUAAUCUCCGUCGAAUUUCAUAUUUUGCACACCGUGGAAAUUUUAUCUCUUUGUUCGCGCAUUUUUCAAUGCUUUAACAUUAAUAUUAGAUAUUAUUACUCUGUCUUUAUUUACGAUUUUAUUUAUUUCUUAAUAUCUACUUUUUAUUAAAAUAAUUUUUGGGGGUAGGCAGGAAAUUGUCAAUUUCUUUCAUUAUUUUUAAAUGCAAUAUAGAAUAAUUUUUCCAUAAUUUUCUCAUUAUUUUCGAAAUGGUUGUAAUGGAUCCUUAAAAAAAAUACAUUUUAUUAUUUGUGUUUAUUACGCUACGCUUAUUAUUUUUUACGUUUAAUUAUACAUUUCUCGACUACAAUCAAUUCACAUUUAUCAUGUUGCAGCUACGGGACAAUGAGAUAAUCCCUAAAUAAAUACGUUCGCCCGAGUUGUUACCCUUCCGCAAAAGGAAGCCCCCAACCCCCGUGACAUCUAGAAAAUUUCAAUAAAUAUUUCUCCUCGGGGAUUAUCUCUCUGUUCUCCACUGCGCUCCUCGGCUGCCAGAGCGGCGGCGGCGACCGUACGGAAGAUGCGAAAUCGGUCCGAAUAGAAUGCGUUUGUGAGUCACAUGGGUUGCGUCGGCCGCGAGCGUUGCCGAGCCGAGCCGAACGCGCCGCCGCCGCCGCCGCGGCGUGCUGCGUCGCGUCGCGUCGCGUCGCGUCGCCUCGCACACCGAGUCGGGAUAUAGAUCCUCUCUCCGGUGCGUGGUGCGACGUUGCCAAGGCUUCUCUCUUAUCGUCGUCGAGCCGGCCGGCCGGCCAGCCAGCCAGCCAGCCAGCCGCGCGAGCUGUACGCACUCGUGCGUUCGCCCGUCCGUUCGUUCCUUCCUCCUUUCGUCCAUACACGUCCAUCCGUCCGCCCGUCCGUGCGGAAAAAAUAGCGUCGCCUUGGCUCUCUUUCCUUGCCCCACGUCUGCGUGACCGCGUUUUGCCUCUUGCAAAAAUGCGCCCUCCUCGGGAGAGGGAGGGAGGGAGAGAGAGAGGGGGUGGGAGAGAGACUGGCGCUCCCCCGUUGGAAGCCGUUAGCCGUCACGAUCUCGGCGACGAACGUGCGAUCAUUACGACGAGACAAAGGCGUCAAAGACGACGACGACGACGAGGACGAAGCGGAGGGGGAGGGGUGGGGAUAGCCACCACACGGCGACCAUAAUUAUUGGUUAUUGAUUUUUGUUAAUGCGCACGACCGUCGCAUUCACGGACGACAGACGGCGAGCGGGAGGGAACAUGACGUAAACUAGGAUAUCAGCGCCGGGAAAUAUUCUCUAUGGGAGGACAUCGUCUCUCUUGUGUUUGCCUCUGAUGCUGCUGCUGCUGCCGUUGCUGCCGUUGGUGGUCGAGUUGGCACGCGCGAUGCUUUUACAACGUUGUAAAUUUUAUGGGCGCAUUGUGAUAUCGCCGCUAUAUUACUCGCGUUAACCGUUAAGGUGGGAUUCGAUAACUCGCGACGCCGCCUUUUUGAUUUCUGCGUUUCUGUAUUCCGUUCUACAGAGCGCGUCAAGAAAACUUUUCCUUACCGCGAGAGAUGUAAAGCCGAGGAAGGGAGAAACAUUUCCUAACGGAAUUGCAUCGGCAAUCUGUGUCGAAGACACUUGGUUCGACUUUAUUUUGCACGUCUCUUUAUAUUUUGUACGUUCAAUAUCUGAAAUAUACCCUGCAAUAGCAGAUGUAAUCCGCUGUCGAACAAUAACUAUAAAUAUUCAUUUGCUCAUAAAUUAUUCGUGAAGUAAUUGGUUUUAAAAGGUAAACGCCGUAAGACUUUUACUGCAAAUCUUGAUCUAAAUAGAGACUGUGAGUUUAAUUUCGCGAUUAUCUCUCUGUUAUUUCUCUUGGGCACUAUCUUGGGUUCGUACGAGAACGAUAACGAACGAUAAGGAGCGGUACGAAGCGGUUCGUAUAUCGAGUAGCAUGCGAGAUAAUUCGAUGCAUUCGCAGCUCAUUAAAUAUCAUCGCGACGAUUGCUUCGUAAAUUUUAUACGAGUCUUACGUUAUAAUUAGUAUUACAUAAUAGCUUUCUUUGGUUCUCUCUUUUUUUUUCCUCAAAGCAAACCUUUCAUAUCACGUUCGAGUGAUUCUAUAAAAACUUAUAUUAAAAAAUAAAAAGCAAUAUUUUUAUUUUUUAUCAUUUGUCUUCAAUUAUAUAUCAGAAAAUUAAAAUUAAGAAACUGAAAUGUAUAGAAAAUUUUGUUUAUCUUAAAAAAAAUUUAUAUAAUUGUGCAAAAAAAGGCAAUCUUCCUAUAUCUUCAUAUCUUUCAUAUGUAAAAAAAACUUAAGAGAAUAAUUUUUUACUUUUCACAAAGUUAUUUGAAAUUCCUUUUUUCGAUGCUUUAACAUCUCUCUUUGUACAUCUUCGAGUUGUAAGAAUUGUAAAAUUUCAUUUGAAAAAAUC